rnacentral:tRNA from 1 species
GGGAUUAUAGCUCAAAAGUGAAGAGCGAUGGUCGAAAGAUUGGAGGUUGUGAGUUCAAAUCUCACUAAUCCCACCA